CUUGAAACACGGACCAAGGAGUUUAUAGUGUGCGCGAGUCUUAAGGUAAUUAAACCUAAUAGGCGAAAUGAAAGUAAAAGUAAAAUUUUAUUUUCUAAAGGAAGAUGUGCAAUUUUUUUUUAAAAAAAUAAUUGCAUCGCAUUCCUGGGGCGCUUUAAAUUCUUAAUUGAAUUGAGGCGCACCAAUAGCGUACACAAUAAUACCCGAAAGAUGGUGAACUAUGCCUGGCCAGGACGAAGCUAGGGGAAACCCUGGUGGAGGUCCGAAGCGAUUCUGACGUGCAAAUCGAUCGCCGGAGCUGGGUAUAGGGGCGAAAGACCAAUCGAACCAUCUAGUAGCUGGUUCUCUCUGAAGUUUCCCUCAGGAUA
rnacentral:rRNA from 1 species